UGGCACUCUUGAUCAAGCUUUCGAACUGCUGUUGAAUCCAUGGGCAGGCAAGAGAGAACCAGGCGAACUGAAAGAUCUUUGUAGCCAAAGGAAAAGAAAGAAAAAGUGAUUCCCGUAGUAACGGCGGCGAAAUGGGAGCUGCCUAAACAAUGAAAAUAGGGUUGUGGAAGAGCAAUACAACCGUCGUACAUGUAGGCGAAGCAACCAGAAUGUUGCACCCUUGAUGGUGAAAGUCCUGUAGUCAAAAGCAUCACUAGCUUAGGCUCUGACCCGAGUAGCAUGGGGCACGUGGAAUCCCGUGUGAAUCAGCAAGGACCACCUUGCAAGGCUAAAUACUCUUGGGUGACAGAUAGUGAAGUAGUACUGUGAGGGUAAAGAACCCCCGGGAGUGACAUAGAACAUAAAAGUGUAAGCUCCCACGUAGUGGGAGGAGCCAAGGCUCUAACCGCGUGCCUUUUGAAGAAUGAGCCGGCGACUCAUAGGUAGUGGCUUGGUUAAGGGACCUACCAGAGGCGUAAUGACAGCUAGACUUCAUAGGGCAAGUGUCACUGCUUAUGGACCCAAACCUAGGUUAUCUAUCCAUGACCAGGAUGAAGCUUGUAUGAAACUAAGUGGAGGUCCGACCGACUGAUGCUGAUGAAUCAUCGGGUGAGUUGUGGUUAGGGGUGAAAUGUCACUUGCACCCAUAGCUAGCUUGUUCUCCCCGAAAUGUGUUGAGGCGUAGCAGUUAACUGGACAUCUAAGGGGUAAAUCACUGUUUCGGUGUGGGCCGCGAGGGCGGUACCAAAUUGAGGCAAACUAUGAAUACUAGAUAUGACCUCAAAAUAACAGGAGGGCAAGGUUGGCUAGUGAGAUGAUGGGGGAUGAGCCUCAUCAUCGAGAGGGAAAUAGCACGAAUCACCAGUUAAGGCCCCUAAAUGACAACUCAGUGAUGGGGGAUAAGCCUCAUCAUUGAGAGUGCAUAAUAGCUCACAGAUCGAGAGCUCUUGCGCCAAAGAGGAACGGGGCUAAGCGAUCUGCCGAAGCUGCGGGAUGUGAAAACACAUCGACAGGGAUAUUUAAAUUCCUUGUCCACUCUUUCCAGUAUUUUCCAAAAACCAGCAAUUAGGAAUAGAGAAUAUAUAUAAAAGAAAGGUCUAACUGUUGGAAUCAUUUUUUCAUUGCAAUUUGAUACAUUUCAGUUAUUAACAUUAGUGAAUUAGGUGAAAGUGCUGAA
rnacentral:ncRNA from 1 species